rnacentral:rRNA from 1 species
GAUGAACGCUGGCGGCGUGCCUAAUACAUGCAAGUCGAGCGAACAGACGAGGAGCUUGCUCCUCUGACGUUAGCGGCGGACGGGUGAGUAACACGUGGAUAACCUACCUAUAAGACUGGGAUAACUUCGGGAAACCGGAGCUAAUACCGGAUAAUAUAUUGAACCGCAUGGUUCAAUAGUGAAAGACGGUUUUGCUGUCACUUAUAGAUGGAUCCGCGCCGCAUUAGCUAGUUGGUAAGGUAACGGCUUACCAAGGCAACGAUGCGUAGCCGACCUGAGAGGGUGAUCGGCCACACUGGAACUGAGACACGGUCCAGACUCCUACGGGAGGCAGCAGUAGGGAUUCUUCCGCAAUGGGCGAAAGCCUGACGGAGCAACGCCGCGUGGGUGAUGAAGGUCUUCGGGUCGUAAAACUCUGUUAUUGGGGAAGAACAAAUGUGUAAGUAACUAUGCACGUCUUGACGGUACCUAAUCAGAAAGCCACGGCUAACUACGU